UUUGACAAGAUGUGACAAUUUGAAGGGGCACACGGACCUUUGUUUUUUGUAUACCUUGUACAUAGUUCUCAAAAAGGGUUAGGUAAAAAAAAAAAAAAAAAACGCAAGGGAAAAGAAGCUAAAACUGGUUCAGGAUGAGCCAUUUAUUUAUCAGGUCAAAGGUUAACACUCGGGUUUCAAUCUUUUUGUUGUGUUGUGAACUAAUUGAGUGCUGUAAAUGCUUGAAAAUGCAUACCACAAUGUGGGGCGCUUGCAUUGUUCUGUGGUGUUAACUUUCCUGCUUUCUCAAUACCACAGCAAUAAGAGCAUUUCACUCCCCUUUUCUUCAUGUGGAUAUGAUGCUUAUUUCAUUUAAAAAAUGAUUUAUAUUUUGAUGAUGUCAAA